rnacentral:tRNA from 1 species
GGAGGACUGGCCGAGCGGCAAGGCACCCGUUUCGAAAACGGAGAUCAGGGUGAUACCUGCGGGAGUUCGAUUCUCUCGUCCUCCGCCA